CCCAUGGAGAUUUAAUAGGCUAAAAAAAUUAUUACAAGCCCAAUUAUAAUUAUCAUCAUCUCUAUUUAAUAAGUUAAACCUUAUACAAUACUAUAAAUUAAAUCUUCCUUCAUUACGUAUCUCCUUCUCUUUCUUCAUUCCCUACCGCUUCUCUCUGUCUCUCUCUUUCCCGGCGAGCGUCGCCGGCCUCGCCGCCUCCGGCGCGGCGAGGUCGGCCUCUUCUCUUUCACCUUCUUUCUUUCUUUCUUUCUUUCCCUUUUCCUGAAUCUGAAAUAGAUCUAGGGUUUUCUUUAUUUCCUGAAUUUGAAUAGAUCUAGGGUUUCUACCUCUCUUCCUCCCCUCUCGGAAUUCGUCUCUCCGGUCGAGGUUUGCCUCCACCGCCGUCGUCUUUGUCGUGCCGCCGCCUCCUCUGUUUCAGGUAAGCCUCCCCAUCUCUCUCUCUCAUUUUCUUUCUUCCUUUCUCUGCUCCUCUCUCGAUCUCCCUCUAUCUCGAUCUCUCUCUCCUUUCUGGUCGGGCCGCGGCGGCCGCUGCGAGCCGCGACGGCGCAUGCAGCGCCGGGGGUCGCCGCCGCCCUGCUCUCCCCUCUCUCCCUCCAUCUCGUUCUAACCGUCUCUUUUUAUUUCACUCUCUAUCUCCCUGGUUUAAUCUCCCUCUCUAUCUUUCUCGCUCAACCUCUCUCUGCUGUCAGUAGCCACCACGGCCGCCGUGGCGCCGGUGGCCACCGCCGCCAGCCAUGCCUCCGCUGUGGUGGCUCGCGGCUGCUGCUGCUACUACUAAUUCCCAAUUCAAAAUCUCAUUCCAGCAAACUUCCAAUCUAAUUUUUUUAUUUCAAUUUUAACAUUACAAAAUAAUAGAUCUCAAACUAUUUUCUGUUCCAGGAAUCGUGAUUCAAGAUGAGUUGAGAUGGUUUCAUCGGCAGUUCAUCUACAGCCCAAGACUCCCUUUUUAAAGACUCAGCCUUCUAUUUGGAUUAUUAUUGAUUUUUAAAGACUCAGCCUUCUAUUUGGAUUAUUAUUGAUUUAUAAACUGUUGUAACUAGAUGUAUUCUGUAAAUGUUAAAGGAAAUUGAUAUUAUCUCUGCUAUUUUUGAUUACUACCUACGAGUGAAUCAUUGAGUUGUAGGAAGAAUACUACCUGCUUGUUUGCUGACUGCUGGGGAUGAUUUUUGCUUUUGGAUGGAUAUUUACUUUACUGUUUGGAGUUUGCAGAAUGGGGAAAAAAAAUGAGAUUUAUGGUAACUCAUCGUAUUUAUACUCGUUUGAGUCGGUUUGAUGGAUUUAGCUGGGUGUAAAAUUGAGAGCUGAGUGUAAAGUUGGAAGAUACGUGUAGUAUCAUGCUCUACGUGUUCUUUCACAAAAAUCUUGUUUCUUCACAGGAUAAAUGCAGCCAAUUUGAUCUGAUCAAUUUAUUCAAGAAUAGCAUAACAGUUGGGUUAAUGAAAUUGGGCUUCCUAUUACACUUUGGGCCAAUAACAGUUAUUGGGCUAAUCUAAAAACUGAAUUUAUAAAUAAUAAUAAUUGGACUGUAGUUACCAUAUAAAGUCCUAGGCCCAAAUAAUAACACUAUUGGGCUGAAACUAAACCUACAUAUAUGGAUUGGGCUGCCCAAAUAAUAAUAUGAAUAAUUGAAUCUAUAUUUCUUAUUUAAUCAGCUAAUCCCAUAUAGAAAUUGGAUUACUACGGUCCUCUAUUUGACGACUAUCUAUAUUAGAAUAUAAUAUGUGAACUUAAUUAUAUAAUCAACAAUAGUAUAAAUACGGUGGGGCUACUACAUCCUACCCCUCUAAAUAAAAAUUUCGUCCCGAAAUUUGCGUACCUAGUUAAACAACUUCGGGUAUUUAUCUCGCAUUUUGUCUUCCAGUUCCCAUGUUGCUUUUUCCUGAUCGUGAUGUCUCCACAAAACCUUCACCAGUACGAUUGAUUUAUUUCUUAAAUCCUGUGUCUUUCGAUCCAGGAUAGCUUCUGGUCUUUCUUCAUAAAUCAAGUCUGGACUCAAGGUUAUCUCAUCCUGAUGAAUUACGUGUUUGGGGUCGAACACGUAUUUCCUUAAUUGCGAUACAUGAAACACAUCAUGAACAUUCCCGAAACUUGGUGGUAAAGCCAAUCUAUAAGCAACUUGGCCUAUUCUCUCUAAGAUUUCAUAGGGUCCCACAAAACGAGGUUUGAGUUUUCCCUUCACGCCAAAUCUAACUAUUCCCUUUGAUGGAGAUACCUUCAGAAAAACUUUAUCUCCUACUUCAAACUGUAGUUCAGUUCGGCGUGUAUCUGCAUAGGAUUUUUGCCUAUUUUGGGCCUCUUUCAUUCUUAUCCGAACCUGUCGGAUAAUUUCAAUCAUUUCAUUAACUGCGUCCGGCCCUAGAUUCUUUCUCUCGCCUACUUCAUCCCAAGAAAGUGGCGACCUGCAUUUCUUUCCAUACAAUGCCUCGUAUGGUGCCAUAUCAAUGGUUGUUUGAUAGCUGUUAUUAUAGGCAAAUUCAAUCAGUGGUAAUAUUGAUUCCCAAGCACCGCCUCUAUCCAACACUACUGCUCUUAGCAUAUCCUCCAGUGUUUGAAUUGUUCUUUCCGUCUGUCCAUCUGUUUGUGGAUGGAAGGCAGUACUAAAAUUCAACUGAGUGCCUAACUCUUUCUGCAAACUAGUCCAAAAUCGAGAGGUGAAUCUUGAAUCCCUGUCCGAAGUGAUUGACAUAGGUAUUCCAUGGAGGCGUACAAUCUCUCGUACAUACAAUUGAGCUAGUUUGUCUGAUCCAUAAGUAAUAGAAAUUGGUAUAAAGUGGGCACACUUCGUUAGUCGAUCUACGACUACCCAGAUAGCAGUGUGGUUUCCUCUUGAUUUGGGUAAACUAGUAACGAAGUCCAUCGUAAUAUGGUCCCAUUUCCAUUCUGGAAUCGGUAACGGUUGUAGCUUUCCAUAAGGUCGUUGGUGCAACGCCUUCACCUGCUGACAUGUCAAACACCUCUCAACGUAAGAAGCUAUGUCUCUCUUCAUUCCGUCCCACCAAAACUUCUUCUUCAUGUCCUGAUACAUUUUCGUACUUCCAGGGUGAGCGGUGUAAGGUGUGUCAUGAGCUUCACUCAUGAUUGUAUUUCUAUGCUCCUCAUCACAUGGAAUACACAAUCUUCCUUCAAACAUAAUGGCAUUAUCAGCGGCUUCCUCAUAACCUGUGGGUUUGUCUGUUCUGAUUUUCAAGCGCAAUUUCUCUAACAUUUCAUCUUUCCUUUGCGCAUUGACAAUUCUUUCUCGAAGAUUUGGUUCUGCCACAAUUGCUGCUAUGAUGGAUUGCGUCGUAUGCGGGGGUUGUACCACUUCUAAACUCAUUCUACUAAAGUUUUCUACUAGUUCUUUCUCCUGAGUAAGGAAAAAUCCCAACUGUGGUUGAGUUUUACGACUUAAAGCAUCAGCAACCACAUUAGCUUUGCCAGGGUGGUAGUUUAUUCCACAAUCGUAAUCUUUUACUAAUUCGAGCCACCUUCUUUGUCUCAUGUUCAAAUCCUUUUGCUCGAAGAAGUAUUUUAGACUUUUGUGGUCUGUGAAGAUUUCACAUCGUACUCCAUAAAGGUGAUGUCUCCAAAUCUUUAGCGCAUGCACUACUGCUGCUAACUCUAGGUCAUGCGUAGGAUAGUUCAAUUCGUGAGGCCUAAGUUGUCGAGAUGCAUAGGCUAUCACUCUUCCUUCUUGCAUUAAUACACAACCUAGUCCACUCUUUGAUGCAUCAGUGUAGAUGUCAUAACCUUUAUUAGCUUCUGGUACGGCUAGAACUGGUGCUGUAGUCAAUUUUCUUUUUAGUUCUUGGAAGCUUUCCUCACAUUCGCCUGUCCAUGUGAACUUACUUCCCUUUCUGAGCAAUUGUGUCAUGGGUCUUGCUAUUUUCGAAAAUCCUUCAAUAAAUCUCCUGUAAUACCCUGCUAAGCCUAAGAAACUCCUUAUUUCAUUAGGGUUAGUUGGCGUUUUCCACUCUUGUACCGUCUGUACUUUCGCAGGGUCCACCUUGAUUCCCUCGGAUGACACAACAUGUCCAAGAAAUGUUACUUCAUUGAGCCAGAAUUCACAUUUGCUAAACUUCCCAUAAAGUUGUUCCGUUCUUAGUGUUUCUAGAACUAUUCUUAAAUGUUUUUCAUGUUCUGCUUGGUUUUGAGAAUAAACCAAGAUAUCAUCAAUGAACACUAGAACAAAUUUAUCUAGGUAUGGGUGGAAGACUCGGUUCAUGAGGUCCAUAAAUACCGCUGGGGCAUUCGUCAAUCCGAAUGGUACAACUACAAAUUCGUAAUGUCCAUAUCUCGUUCUAAAUGCGGUUUUAGGGAUGUCUUCCUGUUUGAUUUUCAACUGAUGGUAUCCAGAUCUUAAAUCGAUUUUUGAGAAUACACUUGCACCCUUCAGUUGAUCAAACAAAUCUUCAAUCCUCGGCAACGGAUAUUUAUUCUUGAGCGUGAUUUUGUUGAUCUCACGGUAAUCAAUGCACAUUCUCAUUGUGCCGUCUUUCUUUUUCACAAAAAGUACCGGUGCUCCCCAUGGUGAUACACUAGGUCUGAUAAAACCUAGGUCCAACAGUUCUUGAAGUUGAAUCUUUAAUUCUUCCAGUUCCUUUGGAGCCAUUCUAUAAGGUGCCUUUGAUAUUGGGGCAGAUCCAGGUUCCAAAUCAAUCGCAAGCUCUAUUUGUCGAUUUGGUGGUAACCCGGGCAACUUUUCCGGAAAAACAUCUUGGAAUUCCCGUACAACUGCUACUUCAUCUAUUGUUUUCGUACCCUUAACUUCUCCACUCAAAUAAACAAGAUAGGCUUGAGAACCCUUCUUUUUCAUUAUCUUCCUUGCUUGCAGCGCUGAAAUUACGGGUACCCUCCUACCCAUACUAAUUCCAUGAAAACUCGUUGGUUCUUUUCCUGGGGGUUGGAAAGAAAUUUGCCUCUCAUUACAACGGAUUGUGGCAUAAUUCUCAGUUAACCAAUCCAUGCCUAAAAUUAUAUCUGUGUCCCACAUAGGCAUAAGAUUCAAGUUGUUUGCGACCACUUUAAAAGUCCCUAACUCUAUUUCUAGGUUAGAGCAACAAUGUGACGUGAUCGUAGUCCCCCCUAUAGGUGAAUGUAUUUUCAUCCUAUGCUUAGCUUGUUCUGUUUUUAAUUCCAAAGUAUCCGCGCAUGCAUUUGCUAUGAAAGAGUGCGAUGCACCAGUAUCAAACAGAACUAUGACAGGUAUAUCCAAAAGUUUACCCAUACCUGCCAGGUUUCCCUGAGUCUUCUCAGGUUGCUUCUGUUUCAGAGGAUAAGCUCUAAUUUGCGGAAUCAGCUGCUGAUGUUGUGGAUUCGGUGGCUGUCGUUGAUGUUGCUGUUGUAGUUGGGGGUAUCCUUGAACCGCUCUUAGAGGUUGGACUCGAGUUGGUUGGUUCUGUCUGAAUCCUGAUCCUUGUUGUUUGGUUGGGCAAAAUUUUGAAAAGUGACCCUUCUGGCCACAGGUAUAACAAGCAUCACUACCAGCUUUACACACACCUGGGUGUACUCGAUUACAUUUUGGACAAGUGGGAAUCUUUUGUUGUCCUUGAAUAUUUUCCCUGGGUCCAAAAUUAAAUGGUUUUUCCAACCCUUGUUGUUGAGGUUGUCCCUGUCCCUGCCAUAUCUUUUUAUUGGGUUGGUUAUUCCCCGUGUCAUUCCACUUUCGCUUUCCUUUGAAAUUCUGAGACUGCAUCGGUGGGGGUGCUGGCAUAAACAUUGGUAUAGGUAUUACCCUUUCUGCUGGCAUAGCGGCUUCUAUAUCCAAUGCUCUACUGAGCGCAUCUGUAUAAGUCAAUCCUUCAUGACCGGCUAAGGUCAUCCUAAUCUCAGGUCGUAACCCACUGCAAAAUUUCUCUGACAUUUUCUGACCAGUAUCUACUUGGGUCAGUGCGUAACGAGAUAAGUCACAAAAUAUUCUGUCGUACUCGGUGACUGUCAUCUUAAUUAUAUAAUCAACAAUAGUAUAAAUACGGUGGGGCUACUACAAUAUCACCAAUAUUCAUAUUUGUAUUCGAGUUAAUCACAAAAUUUCGUAUUCGAAUAUCAAAAAUUUGAAUUGAAUACCAAACUAGACCAAAAAUAUUUGAUUCAUUUAAUAAAGGGAAAAAAUAUAAUUAUGCUAUUUUUCUAAUAUAAAUAAAAGCAAUUAAUAUCAAACAAUGAAAUGCUUACUAUAUUUUUAUUAAAUUAUUAUUCAAUACUCAUUAAAUCCUUGAAUAUAAAUAAAAAUAAUAUAAAGCAUUAUUUAACAAUAUAUAUCAUAAAAAGAUAAAUAAUAAUAUAUGUAUAAGUAUUAGAUACAUAAUAUAUUGAUAAUUUAACUUAAUUAUAGUGUACUAAAAUAAUUUUAAAAGUUAUAGGGUUACGUAUAUAUUAUGUUAUACUAUAUAAUAAAAAACUAUAUACGUAUUAUAUAUUAUAUGUUAUAUAUAUUGAUAUUAAUAUACCAAUAAUUUCGUUAUACCGUAAGGUAUGGUAUACCGAUUUUCGGUAUGGUAUACCGCACUAUCGGUACGACAACGGUAUGGAAAUUCUCAUACCGAACUUUUCGGUAUGCCGAUCUUCGGUAUACCGAAAAGUACGGUACGACAACGGUAUGAAAAUUCUCAUACCGCAAUUUAUGGUAUGGUAUACGGUAUGAUGGAAAAUUUUCGGCAUACCGUACCGAUCCACCCCUAAUCCCAAGCAAUGGGCUAGUUGGUGGAGUGAGUGUGUUAAUUUUCACGAAUAUGUGCGCAGAGACAUUCCAAUUACACAACAUAGGGGCUGAUAUUGCUGGUAAGUUACUGAAUAUGCGAAAAUUGCGGGUAUUAGGGUACCCGACAAGUUCCGUCGGGUCGGGGUUGGGUAUGGGAGGGAGCCUGUUUUCGGAGUCGGGUACCCUCAAAUUUUGGGUAGGGAUGGAAUAUUUUAGAGAAACACUGUUCGACUGAUUGUAAUCAAUUUUGAUUAAUUUAACCCAUAUUAUUCGGGUUCGAUCCGUUUUGAGCAAUUUACGUUGGAUCCGAUCGAAUUGUAAUUGUCGAAUGUGAUUGUAGGGCGAAUUCAUCAAUUAGGGAGCAUUUCUAAGGCUUUAGCGGUGUUGAUCGGGAAUUAUUCAAUGGAAGCCAAAGCGGAGGGGAACAAGUAUAGCAUAAUCGUUCCCACUUUCAACGAGCGCCUCAACAUCGCUCUGAUUGUUUACCUCAUCUUCAAGCAUCUCCCGUGAGUCUUUCUCCUUGUUUGUGUGUGAUUCUGAUUACUAUAGUUGAAGAUGAUUGUGGAAGUUGGCAAUAAAUUUUUGAAUUGGAUCCUUGAAUUUUAUGUGAAUACGUGAUAAUUGCUUUGCCGUUAUGGUUGCGGUAAUGGUAGAUAGAAAGAGGUGAAAUUUGCUGGAAUUGAUACAGAUGGAACUUUAAGAUUAUUUUUUUCGGGCAAUGUAUUGCUAAUUUUUAAGAGAAUUGCUUGGUGGUAUUUGCGCUUGAUUCUUUUUCUUGAGCUGUUUGUAGGGAUACUUUUGAAUGUUCAGUUUUCAGAAGUGAAUUUGAAAGUUAAUCAUUAGGAAUCCCAGUUUCAUAUUCGUUACACUAAUCAACCCUAAAGACUUAAAAAGUUCAAUAUUAUUUGGUUGUUUUAAUGGCUGCUAGAUAUCCAAAAAAGCUUCGACACUUCUCCUAAUGUUCUUGUGGAGUCCUUGGUAGAUUCUUAGUAGUGGUUCUUGUUUCCUAGAGUAGAAACAUGAGACAUGUUUUCACAUGCAUGGGAUGGUAAUAUUUUCAUUGCCUUGAUAUAUGGGGAUCAAACUAUUUAGCAAUUAAGUUUGUAAUCCUUAUUUAAUACUCCCUCCGUCCGCCAAAAGUGGGGCACUUUCAUUAACAAUUUGUACAUGAAAGUGCCCCACUUUUGGCGGACGGAGGGAGUAACUAUUAGCUGGUUCUUCCUCUGGAUCAAUUUUUAGGAAUGUAUAUAUAAAACACAGUAGUUAAACCAUUUACAUAGAUGGACUUAUCACAUUUUUUUGUCUGGUCGGAACUAUUAGUGAUGUGCCUUGGUGCUGCAUGCAACAAUUAGAUAUUGUUUUGUACCUUCUGUUUGGAUCAGGAAUAUAAAUUUUGAGAUCAUAGUGGUGGAUGAUGGGAGUCCUGAUGGAACUCAGGAAAUUGUCAAACAGCUGCAGGAAGUAUAUGGAGAAGAUCGUAUCGUAUGUUUGGGCACUUUCCUUCUUUCAAUUUGUAACUUCUGAUUUAUUAAAGCUUGGGCUUUUAAUUGUCUGUUUACUCAUACUGGUCUCAUAAUGCAGUUGUUGAGACCUAGACCAAAGAAGCUUGGCUUAGGUAUGUACUUGACAUGUUAUAUUCUAAAAGAUGAUUGUAAAACUUCUAAAGGUUUUUCAUUUCAGGGACGGCCUACGUUCACGGUUUGAAACACGCAACUGGAAAUUUUGUUGUCAUAAUGGAUGACAGUACUUAUCACACCAUGUACGUAUGCACUCUUAGAUGCAAUAAGAAAAUGGAAUGUCCUUUGUGUAUUUCCUAGUGAAAAUAUAGUAUGAUAAGUUGAUAACUUCUGGUUAUCUAACCUUAGUAUCAUACCCUAUCCUGUCUGUUCUCGGUCAUAUGAAAAACAAAAAAUUUAUGUAAUUCUACAAAAUUCAGUUCUUGAGAGUCAUGACUAUUCCCUAUAUAAAAUUUGUCAAUGAUGUGAACAAACUUAAACCUUUAAGAAGAAAAGAAAGUUUGUGGCCAUUGGCUUGCCAAUUAAGAUGACUUGGAAAAUAUGAGCUGUCAUUUAAUUGAACUCUUGCAAAGCUCAAGUACUUUUCUUUACUGCAAUUAUUCUUAAUUUCCUUAUCCCAAUUGGUUAAUUUUUUCUUUUUAAAUUAUUUAAUAUUUAUUUUUAUUGCAAUGUUAGAAUUUUAAUUUUAAUGAAAUUUGGAAUUUUAAAAUUAAAGUGUAGAAUUGAGGAUUUUAUGAAAAUAUUCAAUAUCACCAAUAUUCAUAUUUGUAUUCGAGUUAAUCACAAAAUUUCGUAUUCGAAUAUCAAAAAUUUGAAUUGAAUACCAAACUAAACCAAAAAUAUUUGAUUCAUUUAAUAAAGGGAAAAAAUAUAAUUAUGCUAUUUUUCUAAUAUAAAUAAAAGCAAUUAAUAUCAAACAAUGAAAUGCUUACUAUAUUUUUAUUAAAUUAUUAUUCAAUACUCAUUAAAUCCUUGAAUAUAAAAAAAAAUAAUAUAAAGCAUUAUUUAACAAUAUAUAUCAUAAAAAGAUAAAUAAUAAUAUAUGUAUAAGUAUUAGAUACAUAAUAUAUAUAAUUUCAUUGUUAUCUAAGUUGAUAAUUUAACUUAAUUAUAGUGUACUAAAAUAAUUUUAAAAGUUAUAGGGUUACGUAUAUAUUAUGUUAUACUAUAUAAUAAAAAACUAUAUACGUAUUAUAUAUUAUAUGUUAUAUAUAUUGAUAUUAAUAUACCAAUAAUUUCGUUAUACCGUAAGGUAUGGUAUACCGAUUUUCGGUAUGGUAUACCGCACUAUCGGUACGACAACGGUAUGGAAAUUCUCAUACCGAACUUUUCGGUAUGCCGAUCUUCGGUAUACCGAAAAGUACGGUACGACAACGGUAUGAAAAUUCUCAUACCGCAAUUUAUGGUAUGGUAUACGGUAUGAUGGAAAAUUUUCGGCAUACCGUACCGAUCCACCCCUAAUCCCAAGCAAUGGGCUAGUUGGUGGAGUGAGUGUGUUAAUUUUCACGAAUAUGUGCGCAGAGACAUUCCAAUUACACAACAUAGGGGCUGAUAUUGCUGGUAAGUUACUGAAUAUGCGAAAAUUGCGGGUAUUAGGGUACCCGACAAGUUCCGUCGGGUCGGGGUUGGGUAUGGGAGGGAGCCUGUUCUCGGAGUCGGGUACCCUCAAAUUUUGGGUAGGGAUGGAAUAUUUUAGAGAAACACUGUUCGACUGAUUGUAAUCAAUUUUGAUUAAUUUAACCCAUAUUAUUCGGGUUCGAUCCGUUUUGAGCAAUUUACGUUGGAUCCGAUCGAAUUGUAAUUGUCGAAUGUGAUUGUAGGGCGAAUUCAUCAAUUAGGGAGCAUUUCUAAGGCUUUAGCGGUGUUGAUCGGGAAUUAUUCAAUGGAAGCCAAAGCGGAGGGGAACAAGUAUAGCAUAAUCGUUCCCACUUUCAACGAGCGCCUCAACAUCGCUCUGAUUGUUUACCUCAUCUUCAAGCAUCUCCCGUGAGUCUUUCUCCUUGUUUGUGUGUGAUUCUGAUUACUAUAGUUGAAGAUGAUUGUGGAAGUUGGCAAUAAAUGUUUGAAUUGGAUCCUUGAAUUUUAUGUGAAUACGUGAUAAUUGCUUUGCCGUUAUGGUUGCGGUAAUGGUAGAUAGAAAGAGGUGAAAUUUGCUGGAAUUGAUACAGAUGGGACUUUAAGAUUAUUUUUUCCGGGCAAUGUAUUGCUAAUUUUUAAGAGAAUUGUUUGGUGGUAUUAGCGCUUGAUUCUUUUUCUUGAGCUGUUUAUAGGGAUACUUUUGAAUGUUCAGUUUUCAGAAGUGAAUUUGAAAGUUAAUCAUUAGGAAUCCCAGUUUCAUAUUCGUUACACUAAUCAACCCUAAAGACUUAAAAAGUUCAAUAUUAUUUGGUUGUUUUAAUGGUUGCUAGAUAUCCAAAAAAGCUUCGACACUUCUCCUAAUGUUCUUGUGGAGUCCUUGGUAGAUUCUUAGUAGUGGUUCUUGUUUCCUAGAGUAGAAACAUGAGACAUGUUUUCACAUGCUUGGGAUGGUAAUAUUUUCAUUGCCUUGAUAUAUGGGGAUCAAACUAUUUAGCAAUUAAGUUUGUAAUCCUUAUUUAAUAACUAUUAGCUGGUUCUUCCUCUGGAUCAAUUUUUAGGAAUGUAAUGUCCCGAUGAUGGGGUUUGCUCCGUUAUCGCAAACCUCAAAUAUCUUGGCUAAAGAAAAUCUUCGAACGUCGGCGGUGCUCCCAAACAUCCAAGAAGAUUCGGAGGAGGAGAAGCCGAAAUCCAAGACCACCCGCGCCCAAUACUCCAGCGAAGAGACCGAGCUCGUGACAAUAUUGUGGGCGGAGGCUACCCACAAUUCUAUUUUCAGAACUUCCCAAAAGUUGCUCCAAUAUUGGGGAUCAAUCACCGAGAAGUACAGCAACCUCAAACCGGUGGGAGCGCCGACACGUAAGCCGGAUCAUCUCAAAUCCCACUUCGCACCAAAAGGACACGAAAUUUUUCGAGGGCUACUACAACACUUGCAAGGACCAGGGGGGCAGCGGUAUGAGCGACGACCAAAUUAUCGAACAAGCCCAAACGAUGUACGAGGCGAAUUUUAGGAAGAGAUUCGGCUACAUCAAAGCUUGGAAAGUCCUGCACGAGUGUGAAAGGUUCUCGUCGUAAGCCGCAGAUGUCCACUCCACGAAGAAGUCGAAGGGCUCCGAAAGCCAAGCAACCACCACUUCUUCGGAGCCGAGUAUUACGACAAGGCCCCAAGGCCAAAAAGCGACAAAGCGAGACAAGGGCAAGGGAAGAAGGGGGAAGAGUUUUCGGGAAAGUCACCGUACUCCGAAGCCCUUUAGAAGGUCGCCGAAAGCAUGAAGGAGCAUGCCCUUCAAACGAGCCACAUUGCCGAGGCCAAAAAAAUGCAAGCCGAGUUGAAAAGGGAGGAGCUCGAUAUGAAGCUCUUGAACACGGAUACUACGCACAUGACGGAUGCACAAUUGGCCUUGCACAACCACAUGAUCCAAGAAGUGCGUCUAGGCUUAUUUAAAUUAUGAUUUUAAUUCAUGGAAUUUUUUNUCUUUAGUUUAAAUUAUGUAAUUUUUUUUAAUUUAAAUUAUUUAAUAUUUAUUUUUAUUGCAAUGUUAGAAUUUUAAUUUUAAUGAAAUUUGGAAUUUUAAAAUUAAAGUGUAGAAUUGAGGAUUUUAUGAAAAUAUUCAAUAUCACCAAUAUUCAUAUUUGUAUUCGAGUUAAUCACAAAAUUUCGUAUUCGAAUAUCAAAAAUUUGAAUUGAAUACCAAACUAAACCAAAAAUAUUUGAUUCAUUUAAUAAAGGGAAAAAAUAUAAUUAUGCUAUUUUUCUAAUAUAAAUAAAAGCAAUUAAUAUCAAACAAUGAAAUGCUUACUAUAUUUUUAUUAAAUUAUUAUUCAAUACUCAUUAAAUCCUUGAAUAUAAAUAAAAAUAAUAUAAAGCAUUAUUUAACAAUAUAUAUCAUAAAAAAGACAAAACAAUAAAACACAAAAAAACAAAA
rnacentral:lncRNA from 1 species